UACGAAGGGGGCUAGCGUUGCUCGGAAUUACUGGGCGUAAAGCGCACGUAGGCGGAUUGUUAAGUCGGGGGUGAAAUCCUGGAGCUCAACUCCAGAACUGCCUUCGAUACUGGCGAUCUCGAGUCCGGGAGAGGUGAGUGGAACUGCGAGUGUAGAGGUGAAAUUCGUAGAUAUUCGCAAGAACACCAGUGGCGAAGGCGGCUCACUGGCCCGGUACUGACGCUGAGGUGCGAAAGCGUGGGGAGCAAACAGGGAUUAAAAACCCUUGAUAGU
rnacentral:rRNA from 1 species